ACGAACGCUGGCGGCGCGCCUCACACAUGCAAGUCGCACGGAGCUGAGAGAAGCUUGCUUUUCUUAGCUUAGUGGCGAACGGGUGAGUAACGCGUGAGUAACCUGCCCUGGAGUGGGGGACAACAGUUGGAAACGACUGCUAAUACCGCAUAAGCCCACGAUCCGGCAUCGGAUUGAGGGAAAAGGAUUUAUUCGCUUCAGGAUGGACUCGCGUCCAAUUAGCUAGUUGGUGAGGUAACGGCCCACCAAGGCGACGAUUGGUAGCCGGACUGAGAGGUUGAACGGCCACAUUGGGACUGAGACACGGCCCAGACUCCUACGGGAGGCAGCAGUGGGGGAUAUUGCACAAUGGGGGAAACCCUGAUGCAGCGACGCCGCGUGGAGGAAGAAGGUUUUCGGAUUGUAAACUCCUGUCGUUAGGGACGAUAAUGACGGUACCUAACAAGAAAGCACCGGCUAACUACGUG
rnacentral:rRNA from 1 species